GUGCCAGCCGCCGCGGUAAUACGUAGGCAGCAAGCGUUGUUCGGAGUUACUGGGCGUAAAGGGUGUGUAGGCGGUCUUCUAAGUUUGGUGUGAAAUCUCCCGGCUCAACUGGGAGGGUGCGCCGAAAACUGGGAGGCUAGAGUGCGGGAUGGGAGAGUGGAAUUCCUGGUGUAGCGGUGAAAUGCGUAGAUAUCAGGAGGAACACCUGUGGUGUAGACGGCUCUCUGGACCGCAACUGACGCUGAGACACGAAAGCGUGGGUAGCAAACAGGAUUAGAAACCCUCGUAGUCC
rnacentral:rRNA from 1 species